GCCGCGGUGGCGGAAUCGGCAGACGCGCUAGUUUCAGGGACUAGUGGGUUUUUACACCCGUGGGAGUUCGAGUCUCCCCCGCGGCACCA
rnacentral:tRNA from 1 species